UACGUAGGGGGCAAGCGUUGUCCGGAAUCAUUGGGCGUAAAGAGCGUGUAGGCGGCCCGGUAAGUCCGUUGUGAAAGUCCAGGGCUCAACCCUGGAAUGCCGAUGGAUACUGCCGGGCUAGAGUUCGGAAGAGGCGAGUGGAAUUCCUGGUGUAGCGGUGGAAUGCGCAGAUAUCAGGAGGAACACCUAUAGCGAAGGCAGCUCGCUGGGACGUUACUGACGCUGAGACGCGAAAGCGUGGGGAGCAAACAGG
rnacentral:rRNA from 1 species